GAUCUGAAAAAUCUUAUUUCCUGAUUGGUCCUCUGGUCAGGUGUUUGGUUACUCCUUUGCAGGUGAAAUAGACGUUGACCCUUAGCUAUCUGUGUAUGACAGCUUGAGCCUGGGCCUUGGGG